rnacentral:rRNA from 1 species
UACGGAAGGGGCAAGCGUUGUCGGAUGAUGGUGCGUAAAGGGCGCGUAGGUGGUUCUGUAUGUCUACCGUGAAAGCGUACGGCUCAACCGUAUUUUGUCGGUGGAAACUGCAGGACUGAGGCUGGGAGGGGCUGGUGGAAUUCCCUGUGUAGCGGUGAAAUGCGUAGAGAUGGGGGAGAACACUCGUGGCGAAGGCGGCCAGCUAGACCAGUUCUGACACUGAGGCGCGACAGCGUGGGGAGCAAACAGG